rnacentral:rRNA from 1 species
GAUGAACGCUGGCGGCGUGCCUAAUACAUGCAAGUCGAGCGAACAGAUAAGGAGCUUGCUCCUUUGACGUUAGCGGCGGACGGGUGAGUAACACGUGGGUAACCUACCUAUAAGACUGGGAUAACUUCGGGAAACCGGAGCUAAUACCGGAUAAUAUUUCGAACCGCAUGGUUCGAUAGUGAAAGAUGGUUUUGCUAUCCCUUAUAGAUGGACCCGCGCCGUUUUAGCUAGUUGGUAAGGUAACGGCUUACCAAGGCGACGAUACGUAGCCGACCUGAGAGGGUGAUCGGCCACACUGGACCUGGGACACGGUCCAGACUCCUACGGGAGGCGGCAGUAGGGAAUCUUCCGCAAGGGGCGAAAGCCUGACGGAGCAACGCCGCGGGAGUGAUGAAGGUCUUCGGAUCGUAAAACUCUGUUAUUAGGGAAGAACAUACGUGUAAGUAACUGUGCACGUCUUGACGGUACCUAAUCAGAAAGCCACGGCUAACUACGUG